rnacentral:rRNA from 1 species
AUACGGAGGAUGCAAGCGUUAUCCGGAUUUAUUGGGUUUAAAGGGUGCGUAGGCGGUUUGCUAAGCGGGAGGUGAAAUGCCGGCGCUCAACGUCGGAAGUGCCUCCCGAACUGGUGGACUUGAAUGACUCUGCCGUGGGAGGAAUGUGUAGUGUAGCGGUGAAAUGCUUAGAGAUUACACAGAACACCGAUUGCGAAGGCAACUCACGAAGGGUUGAUUGACGCUGAGGCACGAAAGCGUGGGGAUCAAACAGGAUUAGAUACCCUGGUAGUCCACGCAGUAAACGAUGAUGGCUAACCGCUGGGCUUAUCAGUUCAGUGGCCAAGCGAAAGCGAUAAGCCAUCCACCUGGGGAGUACGACCGCAAGGUUGAAACUCAAAGGAAUUGGCGGGG